rnacentral:piRNA from 1 species
AUGUCAAGAAGGAAGGCUUAACC